rnacentral:lncRNA from 1 species
AAAAAAUUGAAAAUUAAUGCCAAAUCGAAGAACUUAAUGUUAGAUUUUACACGGACAAGGAUUACGAUCGCAGAUGGCAGGAGAGAUGUAGAAGACGGUGGUUGUAUGCAAGCUAUACGAACGAGUAUAUUAAAUCACAAAGUAGUGUAACCAUAUACGUACGUACGUGUGCAACGUUCCGUGGACAAUAUGGCUCCAUUUUACCGGAGAAAAGGAGACAGCCACGAUUUUCGUCGCGACGAUUCCUACCGGAAAUUGCAGGGAAGGUAAGACUAAUAUUCAAUAUCGUUCAGUGAAGCAUGAAGCGGCUGAAACAACGAUAGGGGACGAAUGAAGUAAGAAAUCGUUCGAAUAUCUCGACUAAAAGUGUGCAGAAAGUGAUUAAGUUAGGCAGUCGUAGUUGUAUUUAACAUCUUAGAGUAUCGCUCCGCGAAACUUUCAGUUCAGUUCUUGUCGGCCCAAGUACCUCAUUUGUACUUCCAUUAUCUUGGUACAAUACACUAUCAUCCCCAGAAAAAGACGAAAUGGAACAACAGCGCAAAAUAUCCGGAUAUUUGUACUUGUUUCAAAUUAAAUAACAAAAUUCGAGAUAAACAGUAGUUAAUGUUCACAAUUUCUAUUUGUUUGGCUCUUCUCCAAAAUAGUUGAAAGUUUCAAAGCAUCGCGCUAUUAUCUGUUGCAUCCUAACACUCUACAUUCUACACUGUACAUCUAUAAUUUACUAUCAGUCAAAUUGCAUUAUAAAAGUUAUACAACAAAUCAAUCUCUCCAAGUCAGUUGAUCGGUCAUUUUUCCUGUUUACUAAUAUCUUCUACACGUUUCAACGAUAUAUUCUGCACGUUUUGUU